GCCGGAGCGAAUAACUAAUAGCCGCGGCUAUUAGGUAUGCAAAAACCGUACGGAAUCCGUAGGGAAUCCGUACGGGAAUUCCUGCCAAACCGCACGGAUUCGGUACGGAAUGUAUUCCAUAGGGUUUCUGUACGGUUUCCGUGCGGUUUAGCACUUUUACCGCAUUCUAGGGCCAGUUUGUGGCCUUCUUGGCUUUCCAUACCACAUGUCCCACAGAGCAGCCAUGACGCUUCGCUGAAUUACCCAGCUGAUGACUUCUGUAUUUACUGGGCACUUUCGUGAACUUUUGGACGUGCACUCGUGUUGUUUUGACUCCAAGAUAAACGUGGCCUCAUUAUAAAUCAACGUCACCUGGACUCCGCGAUAGACCAUGACGAGAUAUGAUGCAUCAAUCGUUCAAUGUGAAAACAAACCCGAACAAACUGGCGCUCUGGUUUGAAACUCGAGCAGAAAGAAGAAGAGCACCAGACUGUGAUCCACUCACUGGAGUCCCCGAUCACCACCACGCUCCUGUUGUGCAGCAGCUGGGCCGCGGUCUGAUGGCCGACGGACGCCAUGGCCUCAUAACUCUUUUUGGAUUGGAAAACUAAAUGUCAACAUCGAUGAAUGCUAUGGAGGAAAGAUGGAAACAAUCGUUUGACCUCCUGUCUCAGGGAACAUUCCCGGAUGGCUUUGAUAAGUCCCAGAAAAUAAACCUUAGGAGGUAGGCCUACGCUUCAAAAUUCAAGUUAAAGGAAGGAGAGCUCUAUGUUGGGAGCAGAAGAGCCAUUAAAUCCAAAGAGCAGGCAAGACAACUCUUUAUAGAGUUUCACUCCUCUCCAAUGGGGGGACAUACGAGCAUUCCGAAAACCUGGACAGCCAUAUCCUCCGGAUUUUAAUGGCUUGGCAUGUCAGUGGACAUUAACAACUGGGUAUUGGAAUGUGAUAAAUGCCAGAUGGUUGGAAAACCUUUGGCUGCUGCAUAGCCAUUACAGUGUAUACAGUGUCUGCUGUCUGGGAGCUAAUUGGUAUUGACCUGACCGGACCUCUCCCAAAAACUGUGGAUGGCUUCCAGUACAUUUUAACAGCCACAGAUUACUUCUAAAAAUGGGUUGAGGCUUUCCCAUUCAAGAAAAAAAACUGAAGCUGAAGUGGGACGCCACAUCUGUUCGAUUAUUUAUACACAUAGUUGUCCCAAAAGAAUUUUAUCUGACCAUGGAAGAGAGUUUUUUAGUGAACUCAACACCAGCCUUUGCAGUAUUUUGGCUAUUCAAAGAAGUGUGACAGCUGCCUAUCAUCCCCAAACCAAUGGGAAUGCUGAGGACUUCUGUGUGGUGUGCUCCUUUGCCGAAUAAAAUGCAGAUGAGAGCAUGAUUGAAAAGUUGCAGUGUGGAUUAUGCAGUCGAUGGGCACAUUUUGAGUGUGCCCAAUAUGCCCAUGAAAAUAAGGCUGUAUAUAUUUGAAAGAAAUGCAUAAAAAUAAAAUAAAGAUUUGAG
ensembl:lncRNA